CUCCAGCUGACAAGUCCCAGAUAGGACGAAACAUGCGUCCUAGAU
rnacentral:hammerhead_ribozyme from 1 species